UUUGGCAAAAGAAGAAGGUUGAACACCGCCAACAAUGAUUGCAGUUGGUGCAUGUUAUGUUUUCUUUUAAACGUUGUUAGUACAAGGAGAGUGACUGCUCUAGUUUUUUUAAGAUAUUUGAUAUGAAGGACAAGUUAAUAUCUAGUACUUAGCAUUGUUUUUAUGUCGAAUUUGUUUGUUGCAUGAUUUUCUAUAAUAUUAUGUUGCACUUUAAAACUUUGCAUCCAUAAUUUGAAGUUGAAUGUUUUACCAUUGCAAUUUGUAAUACUUCGGCUUAUUCACAAUUCACCAAUAUUUUUUUCUUGUUAACAGAAAG
rnacentral:misc_RNA from 1 species